rnacentral:ncRNA from 7 species
CAGACCUCUAAUCGGAAAAGACUACCCGCUGAGUUUAAGCAUAUCACUAAGCGGAGGAGAAGAAACUAACCAGGAU